UACGAAGGGGGCUAGCGUUGUUCGGAAUUACUGGGCGUAAAGCGCACGUAGGCGGAUAUUUAAGUCAGGGGUGAAAUCCCGCAGCUCAACUGCGGAACUGCCUUUGAUACUGGAUAUCUUGAGUAUGGAAGAGGUGAGUGGAAUUCCGAGUGUAGAGGUGAAAUUCGUAGAUAUUCGGAGGAACACCAGUGGCGAAGGCGGCUCACUGGUCCAUAACUGACGCUGAGGUGCGAAAGCGUGGGGAGCAAAC
rnacentral:rRNA from 1 species